rnacentral:rRNA from 1 species
AUUGAACGCUGGCGGCAUGCUUUACACAUGCAAGUCGAACGGUAACAGGCCGCAAGGUGCUGACGAGUGGCGAACGGGUGAGUAAUGCAUCGGAACGUGCCCAGUCGUGGGGGAUAACUACUCGAAAGAGUAGCUAAUACCGCAUACGAUCUAUGGAUGAAAGCGGGGGACCGUAAGGCCUCGCGCGAUUGGAGCGGCCGAUGUCAGAUUAGGUAGUUGGUGGGGUAAAGGCUCACCAAGCCAACGAUCUGUAGCUGGUCUGAGAGGACGACCAGCCACACUGGGACUGAGACACGGCCCAGACUCCUACGGGAGGCAGCAGUGGGGAAUUUUGGACAAUGCGCGCAAGCCUGAUCCAGCAAUGCCGCGUGCAGGAAGAAGGCCUUCGGGUUGUAAACUGCUUUUGUACGGAACGAAACGGCUCUGGUUAAUACCCGGGGCUAAUGACGGUACCGUAAGAAUAAGCACCGGCUAACUACGUG